rnacentral:piRNA from 1 species
UACAAUAACGCAUGCCUGUAAUCCCAGCA